rnacentral:rRNA from 1 species
GUCGAGCGAUGAGAUCCCUUCGGGGAAGGAUUAGCGGCGAACGGGUGAGGAACACGUGAGGAAUCUGCCUUCAACACUGGGAUAACUCCGGGAAACCGGGGCUAAUACCGGAUACGAGACCUGCAGGCAUCUGCGGGUCUGGAAAGUUUUUCGGUUGAAGAUGACCUCGCGGCCUAUCAGCUUGUUGGUGAGGUAAUGGCUCACCAAGGCGACGACGGGUAGCCGGCCUGAGAGGGCGACCGGCCACACUGGGACUGAGACACGGCCCAGACUCCUACGGGAGGCAGCAGUGGGGAAUAUUGGGCAAUGGAGGGAACUCUGACCCAGCGACGCCGCGUGCGGGAUGAAGGCCUUCGGGUUGUAAACCGCUUUCAGCAAGGAAGAAGCGAAAGUGACGGUACUUGCAGAAGAAGCACCGGCUAACUAUGUGCCAGCAGCCGCGGUAAUACAUAGGGUGCAAGCGUUGUCCGGAAUUAUUGGGCGUAAAGAGCUCGUAGGUGGUUCGUCACGUCGGAUGUGAAAAUCUGGGGCUUAACCCCAGACCUGCAUUCGAUACGGGCGAGCUAGAGUGUGGUAGGGGAGACUGGAAUUCCUGGUGUAGCGGUGGAAUGCGCAGAUAUCAGGAGGAACACCAAUGGCGAAGGCAGGUCUCUGGGCCAUUACUGACACUGAGGAGCGAAAGCGUGGGGAGCGAACAGGAUUAGAUACCCUGGUAGUCCACGCCGUAAACGGUGGGCACUAGUUGUGGGAACCUUCCACGGUUUCUGCGACGCAGCUAACGCAUUAAGUGCCCCGCCUGGGGAGUACGAUCGC